AACGUAGGCUCCGAGCGUUAUCCGGAUUUACUGGGCGUAAAGCGCGUUCAGGCGGUUUGGCAAGUCGGGCAUGAAAUCUCUCGGCUCAACCGGGAGAGGUUGUCCGAUACUGCUGGACUUGAGGGCAGUAGAGGGUGGUGGAAUUCCGGGUGUAGUGGUGAAAUGCGUAGAUAUCCGGAGGAACACCAGUGGCGAAAGCGGCCACCUGGACUGCACCUGACGCUGACACGCGAAAGCGUGGGGAGCGAACAGG
rnacentral:rRNA from 1 species